rnacentral:rRNA from 1 species
UUAAAUCAUUAAAUUAAGAAGAUUUGGCGGUAUUUUAAAUAAUUAGAGGAACCUGUGUAUUAAUUGAUAAUCCACGAUAAGAAAAACUUAAAUAUUUAUGUAUUGCUGUUAUUAGAUUAUUAUAAAUUAAAUUUUUAAAUUUUUAAUUUAAUAUAAUUCAAGUCAAAAUAUAGUUUAGUUAAGAUAUGGGUUACAAUUAAAUUUUGAAAAGGGAUUUAAUAGUAA